rnacentral:rRNA from 1 species
AGCAGCCGCGGUAAUUCCAGCUCCAAUAGCGUAUAUUAAAGUUGCUGCAGUUAAAAAAGCUCGUAGUUGAAUUUCGGGACCAUCAUGUCGGUCGUGCCUCGGUACGUACUGGUAUUGUUGGUUUCUCCCUUCUGACGAACCAUGAUGUCAUUUAUUUGGUGUUGUGGGGAAUCAGGACUGUUACUUUGAAAAAAUUAGAGUGUUUAAAGCAGGCUCACGCUUGAAUACAUUAGCAUGGAAUAAUGAAAUAGGACGUUUGAUUCUAUUUUGUUGGUUUCUAGGAUCGACGUAAUGAUUAAUAGGGAUAGUUGGGGGCAUUAGUAUUCAAUUGUCAGAGGUGAAAUUCUUGGAUUUAUUGAAGACUAACUACUGCGAAAGCAUUUGCCAAGGAUGUUUUCAUUAAUCAAGAACGAAAGUUAGGGGAUCGAAGACGAUCAGAUACCGUCGUAGUCUUAACCAUAAACUAUGCCGACUAGGGAUCGGAUGAUGUUAAUUUUUAAUUGUACUCAUUCGGCGUCCG